UGUCAGAAGUGGUAUUCGAACCCACACCUACAAGAGUAGACUGACACCUGAAUGCCUUAGACCACUCGGCAAGCCUGAC